rnacentral:rRNA from 1 species
UACGGAGGGGGCGAGCGUUAUUCGGAAUUAUUGGGCGUAAAGGGCGCGUAGGCGGCUAGGUAAGUCAAAGGUGAAAUCCCUCGGCUCAACUGAGGAACUGCCUUUGAUACUGGCAACCUAGAGGCUGGAAGAGGUUAGUGGAAUUCCCAGUGUAGAGGUGAAAUUCGUAGAUAUUCGGAAGAACACCAGUGGCGAAGGCGACUUACUGGACACAUAUUGACGCUGAGGUGCGAAAAGCGUGGGGAGCAAACAGGG